UCUAUAUUUAUUUUAUUUUUAUUUUUAGUGCCCAUGUGACCAUGAGAGGUCCUUGUGGGUGUGUGCAGAGUUGGAGGAACAAGCCAGCUCCAGGCAGAAAGGAGCCCCCCAGUUCUGCCAGCUUCCAGCACCAGCCUGACUCCAGUGCUCACCCAAGCAGAGACACUGGAGCAGAGCCUACGGGCUGGGAGAGGAAGGAGGAAAUAGCUGCAGCUUGGCAGCUCCCUGCCUUGGGAUGGAUCCAACAGGAGCAUGGGAGCUCACAUCCACGAAACCCCAGCGCUCUGCCAAGGCCACACAGGAUGCAUUUGGCCUCUUCCCUCUGUGCUCUGAAACCUGUCCUGCUCAGGAGAACGUUCCCACUCCCCUGCCACCUCCUGUGUGCCCAGCAGUGAGCUGGAUGGAAAAUCUAUUGAUUCUCUUCCAUCAGCCUGUACCAGGGAAGGGAAGAGUUCCCCAGCCAGCACAUCUCAUUUCCUUCAGAUUGCUGCUCACAGCCCUAAAGCAAAGCAGGUGGUGGGAGAACAAAAGAAAUCAGCUGGAGAAACUCUGGCCAAGCAAGUCUAACCUACAUCCUCACCACUGCCUCGGCAUUCACGGAGAAACUCAGAGAGGCUGGUGUGUCUGUGAAGAAGGACCUUCCUUUUCCAGGGCUGAUCUCCUUUUCCAGGGCUGA
rnacentral:lncRNA from 1 species